rnacentral:rRNA from 1 species
UACGGGAGGCAGCAGUGGGGAAUAUUGCACAAUGGGCGAAAGCCUGAUGCAGCAACGCCGCGUGCGCGAUGAAGGCCUUCGGGUCGUAAAGCGCUUUUCGGGAGGAUGAGGAAGGACAGUACUCCCGGAAUAAGUCACGGCUAACUACGUGCCAGCAGCCGCGGUAAAACGUAGGUGGCGAGCGUUAUCCGGAUUUACUGGGCGUAAAACGCGUGCAGGCGGUCUGGUAAGUCGGGCGUGAAAUCUCUCGGCUCAACCGAGAGAGGUCGUCCGAUACUACCGGACUUGAGGGCAGUAGAGGAAGGUGGAAUUCCAGGUGUAGUGGUGAAAUGCGUAGAUAUCUGGAGGAACACCAGUGGCGAAGGCGGCCUUCUGGGCUGCCCCUGACGCUCAGACGCGAAAGCUAGGGGAGCGAACGGGAUUAGAAACCCCGGUAGUCCUAGCUAUAAACUAUGCAGACUGGGUGUCGGCGGCUUCAACUCCGCCGGUGCCGUAGCUAACGCGAUAAGUCUGCUGCCUGGGGACUACGGCCGCAAGGUUAAAACUCAAAGGAAUUGACGG